UCCUCUGGACCAGGUGAAACAGCUUGAUAAU
rnacentral:piRNA from 1 species